rnacentral:rRNA from 1 species
UACGUAGGGGGCAAGCGUUGUCCGGAAUCAUUGGGCGUAAAGAGCGCGUAGGCGGCCCUGUAAGUCCGCUGUGAAAGUCAAGGGCUCAACCCUUGGAUGCCGGUGGAUACUGCAGGGCUAGAGUCCGGAAGAGGCGAGUGGAAUUCCUGGUGUAGCGGUGAAAUGCGCAGAUAUCAGGAGGAACACCGAUGGCGAAGGCAGCUCGCUGGGACGGUACUGACGCUGAGGCGCGAAGGCGUGGGGAGCGAACGGG